UACGAGGGGAGCAAGCGUUGUUCGGAUUUACUGGGCGUAAAGGGCGCGUAGGCGGCGUGACUAGUCACUUGUGAAAUCUCCGGGCUUAACUCGGAACGGUCAAGUGAUACUGUCGUGCUAGAGUACAGAAGGGGCAACUGGAAUUCUCGGUGUAGCGGUGAAAUGCGUAGAUAUCGAGAGGAACACCUGCGGCGAAGGCGGGUUGCUGGGCUGAUACUGACGCUGAUGCGCGAAAGCCAGGGAGCGAACGGG
rnacentral:rRNA from 1 species